GGAUCCCAUGAGAACUCCGAAGUUAAGCGUGCUUGGGCGAGAGUAGUGUUGGCAAAGGUACCGCGUUCUAAAAGGGGUGUAAACGUGGUGAAACUCGUGUUGGUGCGGUACAAAGGGGGUGUGUGGAAACGAUGGUAAACUAGUCUUCGUCGUUAAGCGAUGGAGUAAGUAGUGCUGUGGAGUAUCCGUUAUUAGGCAGUGCUGACAAAGAAGGUAGGGUCAGUUUAUAGUGGAGCUGGGAGGGGCGAGCAUAAGGGACGAAGUUGGGGAAACAUGUUGGAUGCGAUCAUACCAGCACUAAAGCACC
rnacentral:rRNA from 1 species